GAUAGGCAUGCAGUCGAGCGAGAGCCCAGCAAUGGGGGACAGCGGCGAAAGGGACAGUAAUGUGUAGAUUAUCUGCCCUCAGGCCCGGGAUAGCUGCGGGAAACUGCAGGUAAUACCGGAUAACAUCUCCGGAUCAAAGGUGUGAUUCCGCCUGAGGAUGAGUCUACAUCCUAUUAGCUAGUUGGUCGGGUAAUGGCCUACCAAGGCUGUGAUGGGUAGCGGGUGUGAGAGCACGACCCGCGUCAUUGGGACUGAGACACUGCCCAGACACCUACGGGUGGCUGCAGUCGAGAAUCUUCGGCAAUGGGCGCAAGCCUGACCGAGCGACGCCGCGUGCGGGAUGAAGGCCUUCGGGUUGUAAACCGCUGUCAGAGGGGAUGAAAUGCAGGUGGGUUCUCCCAUCUGUUUGACAUAGCCUCAGAGGAAGGACGGGCUAAGUUCGUGCCAGCAGCCGCGGUAAGACGAACCGUCCAAACGUUAUUCGGAAUUACUGGGCUUAAAGGGUGCGUAGGCGGCGCGGAAAGUUGGGUGUGAAAUCCCUCGGCUCAACCGAGGAACUGCGCCCAAUACUGCCGUGCUCGAGGGAGAUAGAGGUGAGCGGAACUUAGGGUGGAGCGGUGAAAUGCGUUGAUAUCCUAAGGAACACCGGUGGCGAAAGCGGCUCACUGGAUCUCUUCUGACGCUGAGGCACGAAAGCUAGGGUAGCAAACGGGAUUAGAUACCCCGGUAGUCCUAGCCGUAAACGAUGAGCACUGGAUUGAAGGGUCCUCCAUAGCCUUUCAGUCGCAACGAAAGCGUUAAGUGCUCCGCCUGGGGAGUAUGGUCGCAAGGCUGAAACUCAAAGGAAUUGACGGGGGCUCACACAAGCGGUGGAGGAUGUGGCUUAAUUCGAGGCUACGCGAAGAACCUUAUCCUAGUCUUGACAUGCACGGAUUAACUCCUGGAAACAGGAGCCACGCCUUCGGGUGGAAC
rnacentral:rRNA from 1 species